GGAAGGAUCAUUUAAAAUUUGAUUUUACCUUUAUUAUUAUUUAUUUGUCUAUUUAAAACGAGAUAGAUAUUUACAUUUUCGGUUUUUAGAAUUAAAAAUAAACAAAUUAAAAUUCUAACUUUUGACAAUGGAUAUCUUGGCUCUCACAAACGAUGAAGAGCGCAGCGAAACGCGAUAUGUAAUGUGAAUUGCUUUUCCUUCGUGAAUCAUCAAAUUCUUGAACGCAACUUGCAGGAGCUUUUAUAGAGAGGUACUUGUACUUUUCGGCUCCUAUGAAUGUAUGAGUGGGAUUUUUUAUACUUUUACAUUGAAGUUUGAUUUGCUUCCAAUCUUGCAUUAACUUGUAAUUUUGAAAAAAGGGAAUCAUGCUUCUAAAAUCAUCCCAUCAAUUCUAUUGAUACAACAACAUUUACCUUUCCCCUCAUAUCAUUCAAGAUUACCCGCUGAAUUUAAGCAUAUUAAUAAGCGGUGGAAAAGAAACCAACUGGGAUUCUCCUAGUAAGGGCGACUGAACAGAGAAUAGCUCAUUUUUUAAAAUCCAAGACAACUUGGAAUUGUAGUUUUUAUGUGUUAGAAUAAUCUUAGCUGUGGAGAGAGAAGUUUGUUGGAAAACAGCGCCAUAGAGGGUGAAAGCCCCUUAAUUUCUUUACAGUUUAAGAAAAUCUCUGGCACAAAAGAGUCGUGUUGUUUGAGAGUACAGCACAAAAAGGCGUUAGCCUGUUUGGGUGGUAAAUUUCAUCUAAAGCUAAAUAUUAGUGAGAGACCGAUAGCGAACAAGUAGCGUGAGCGAAAGAUGAAAAGAACUUUGAAAAAAGAGUUAAAAGUGCUUGAAAUUGUCAAAAGGGAAGUGAUUAAAAAGAAUUUGGAUCGGUUGGUGGAUAUUGUGUGGUACUCCACGCGAAUCUCUAUCAAUUGCCAAUGUGACUUUAUUACUGAAUAUCCAUGAUGUUUGGAAGCUAAUAGGGUUUUACUCUAUUAAUCUGAAUCUAUCUGAUUAUUGGUGAUACAGUUACAAUAAUAAUUCUUUUUAAACAACCCGUCUUGAAACACGGACCAAGGAGUCUAACAUGUAAAUGAGUAUUAUAGUGUCGAAACUAUGAUGCGUAAAUGAAAGUAAAUAUUGUUGGAAAAUUCUUGCACAACAAGGGGGAAUAUGGUUUCAAAUCUAAAACUUUGUUCUCACCAAUAAUUUAUAUGUUAGGACCCGAAAGAUAGCGAACUAUACCUGUAUAGGGUGAAGCCAGGCGAAAGUCUGGUGGAGGCUCGUAGCGAUACUAACGUGCAAAUUGUUCGUCAAAUAUGGGUAUAGCGGCGAAAGACUAAUCGAGCUGUCUAGUAGCUGGUUCCCUC
rnacentral:misc_RNA from 1 species